UUUUUUCAUUUAACGUUUUUUAUAUACUUCCUUACGUUGCACCGACUAAAUUUACACACCUUCCUUCCUCCCACACUGCUGUUUCUCCCCUCACAGAUUAAUAAACAUUGUAAAAUUAUACUCUGGAUCCAAACUUGUAUUACUAUUUCUACUGUUGUAAAAUGAUUGUAAAAUAAACAGAAAUAAAUUUAUUCAGAUA